rnacentral:misc_RNA from 1 species
AAGUCGUAACAAGGUUUCGGUAGGUGAACCUGCGGAAGGAUCAUCACGAGAGGGACGCCGCAAGGCGCACCACAACACUGUGUUGCCGAGCGAUGAGUGCAGCAAGCGUAUGCUCUGCUGCACACGUCUAUUGACACCAUGCAAACUGAACUAACUGAACAGCAACCAACCAACAAACACAACUGUUAGCAACGGAUCACUUGGUUCUC